rnacentral:tRNA from 1 species
GGGACAAUGGCACACGUCGAAAACAUCGGAGAAUCAGCCUUCCAAGCUGAUGGUGCGGGUUCGAUUCCCGUCACCCG